GACGUAGGGCGCGAGCGUUGUCCGGAUUUAUUGGGCGUAAAGAGCUCGUAGGCGGCUUGUCGCGUCGAUCGUGAAAACUUGGGGCUCAACCCCAAGCCUGCGGUCGAUACGGGCAGGCUCGAGUUCGGUAGGGGAGACUGGAAUUCCUGGCGUAGCGGUGAAAUGCGCAGAUAUCAGGAGGAACACCGGUGGCGAAGGCGGGUCUCUGGGCCGAUACUGACGCUGAGGAGCGAAAGCGUGGGGAGCGAACAGG
rnacentral:rRNA from 1 species